GAUGAACGCUAGCGGGAGGCUUAACACAUGCAAGGUCGAGGGGGUAAAUGGUAGCAAUACUAUGAGACCGGCGGACGGGUGCGUAACGCGUAUGCAACAUAACCUUUAGCAGGGGGAUAGCCCGUGGAAACGCGGAUUAAUAUUCCAUAGUCCAGCAGUAUCGCAUGGUACCACUGGUAAAGAUUAAUCGGCUAAAGAUUGGCAUGCGUCUGAUUAGUUAGUUGGUAGGGUAACGGCCUACCAAGGCGACGAUCAGUAGGGGUUCUGAGAGGAUUACCCCCCACACUGGUACUGAGACACGGUCCAGACUCCUACGGGAGGCAGCAGGUGGGGAAUAUUGGACAAUGGGGGAAACCCUGAUCCAGCCAUGCCGCGUGUGUGAAGAAGGUCUUAGGAUUGUAAAGCACUUUAAGUUGGGAGGAAGAGCAGUUAACUAAUAUUUGACUGUUUUGACGUUACCGACAGAAUAAGCACCGGCUAACUUCGUG
rnacentral:rRNA from 1 species